CUUCCUCUACUUCCUUCAUGGCAGAUGCAGAAGCUUACUUGGACCAAGUGACUUGUCCCAGACCACACAAACAGUAAGUAGUAGAACCAGUUCUCAAAUCUAAGUCUGUCCAACAACAAAGGUGAAAUUCCUUCCACCUCCCCACAGUGCCCCUAGGAAAGGGACUACAAAAACAUCAGAUUAGGGUCCCUAUUUACAACAGGAGUUAGGCAUGUAAGGGAGGCAGGUGUGGGAUGGAGAGGGGGAGCCCCAUCUUAAUACAGCAGCUGUUACUUAGCUUUAGUGGAGGUUGUAACAAAGGAAUCGGAACUCAAUGUUUCCUGAUCAUCUGAUUUUUUAAAAUCAGGAUGUAAGAAAUUUUUUACAUGAAAACUCCAUUGUGCAGGCCUUUCUGGAGAAACUGACCCCAGGCCAGGGCCUCUGAUCUGUUUUUUUCUUUCUUUUUUUUUCUUGUUUUUUUUUUUUUUUUUUUUUUGAGACAGUGUCUCUUUCUGUUUCUUAGGCUAGAAUGCAGUAGUUACAAUCACAGCUCACUGCAGCCUUGAUCUCCCAAGCUCAAGGGAUCCUCCCAUCUUAACUUCCUGCAUAGCUGGAACUACAGGCAUGUGCCACCACAUCAGGCUCAAUUUUAA
rnacentral:lncRNA from 1 species